GCCUGCCUGGCUUAGUGGGUAGUGCAUGGGACUCUAAAUCUCAGGGUCACAAGUUCAAGUCUCCUGCCGUGCA
rnacentral:tRNA from 1 species